AGCUCUUAUGUUUGUGUUUUUGCUUACUUGUGAAUAAAGACUUAUGGACACGUGCAAAAAAAUAAAUAAAUAAAUCCUAUCUUGCAACCCAGAACUCAUUGUUCAGUGAAUUUUGAUACAUACAAGAAGUAAUGUU
rnacentral:snoRNA from 1 species